rnacentral:piRNA from 1 species
UUAACAAAUGCUUGGCUCCUCUGU